CCUACGGGAGGCUGCAGUGGGGAAUAUUGCACAAUGGGCGCAAGCCUGAUGCAGCCAUGCCGCGUGUGUGAAGAAGGCCUUCGGGUUGUAAAGCACUUUCAGCGGGGAGGAAGGCGGUGAGGUUAAUAACCUCAUCGAUUGACGUUACCCGCAGAAGAAGCACCGGCUAACUCCGUGCCAGCAGCCGCGGUAAUACGGAGGGUGCAAGCGUUAAUCGGAAUUACUGGGCGUAAAGCGCACGCAGGCGGUCUGUCAAGUCGGAUGUGAAAUCCCCGGGCUCAACCUGGGAACUGCAUUCGAAACUGGCAGGCUAGAGUCUUGUAGAGGGGGGUAGAAUUCCAGGUGUAGCGGUGAAAUGCGUAGAGAUCUGGAGGAACACCGGUGGCGAAGGCGGCCCCCUGGACAAAGACUGACGCUCAGGUGCGAAAGCGUGGGGAGCAAACAGGAUUAGAUACCCUAGUAGUC
rnacentral:rRNA from 1 species